rnacentral:lncRNA from 1 species
GGGGAUCCUGACCUUCAGGAGCCGAAAGGGAGGGUUUGGGUUGUAUGUGUGGCAGUCUGGAGAUUGUAUGUCUUUGCACACUCGCAGGGAGGAGCUGGGGUCUCCUGUGCGUGCACCGGCAUGGCCGACGCCUGGUCUCCAUCCAGGGCCCGCAAGCAUCCUGGUGACGGCUCACCCCAGGGCAGUGACCGGCCUGCAGCUUUGUACUGUGGUUCCAUUUACCUCUCUUAAGGCCCAGAUCUCUUUCUUCCCUUUGUUUUGGUCUCCCGGCUCUGGCCUCCACCCUUCAGGGCCCAUCUGUCUGCUGUGGCACGUUACCUGUCACGGCGCCCGUCCCAGGGUGACUUUACAGCAUCUCACGGCAGAUUCUCAGGACCCCGGGUCGACCGCUCUCCCGCGCUUUGUGUGUCACAGACAGAAUCUGGGCAGCUCCUGGGGGAACCGUGUGUCACACCCAGCCACCGGUGCUCCCCAGCAGAUAGAGUUCCAGUUCCCUUUGGAGAAUGAGUGAGUUUCACGUUUUAAUAGGAUCUCUUAAUUUCACGGGCUUUGAGUGGUUUGAAAAUUUUUUAAUGUUAAUUGUGUGGUGUGUGGGUGUUUGAAGGUGUGGGUGAUGUCCACGCUGUGGGGAGUGUCACUCAGGGAUGCGGACGAGCCCCCAGGUCACGGGUCCUGCUGAGGCAGAGCCGCGGGGCCUCAGGGGACGUGGCCUCACUGCACAGGGGGUCGGGACCUGCACAUCAAAAGCUUGUCGCCAGCAGCUGUAUGUACUUUUGAAUGUACUGUUCAGUGCAGCCUCUUAACACACUCCUGUCAUCGUAAUGUUCAUUUCUGUAUUAUUUGAAACCGAGUACGGUGAAAAGCUUUCUUGAACCCUUUUUCUUGUGGAUUAUAGAAAAGGGGCAGCCCUGAGUUUACUGGAGUUAAUUUAUGACCACAUUUUAAAUGCAGAGUAAAGUCCGGAAAAGUGAUUCUAUCCCGGGAUAGUAAAGAGGUUUCCCCUCAGGUGGCAGCUCUGGUAAACUGGUGACAGGCAGAGUGUCCCAUUCAGAAGGACUCUGAAGCCAAAUCUCAGCUGAAAAGAAAUGCAUCAGGAUUGGCCAGCAAUGUCUGUCAUGGCUAAACGAUGGAUUGUUUCUUGUCAAGUGUGAAUGUCAAGUAUGAACUGGGUAUUGUAAGAGAUUGGAUAGGUCUCUGCCAACUUAGAGGCAGACACACAAUGUUUAAUAAACUAUUUCAAACUUCAU